GGCCAGGGAGGGAAAAAUGGAAAGGCUCUGACAGACAUUCCCUGUGUUAGCUUUGGGGGGGAAGCUGGACUGAGACUGAGUCCAGAAAAAGAGCAGCCCCGUGAGUCAGCACGCUCUAAAGGAGUAGGAGACACUGAGCACGGCCCAGGAGAGGGGUGGAAGACUCUUUUGAAGAAGAAGACAGCCUCUCAGGUGAGGGCAGAAAACUCUUGUGGGUUUGGAGUCCAUUUGAACUUUGAUACCCUAGAAGGGGUGGGCUUUUCUCUUCUGACAACCAGAGGGCUAAGUCACUGCAGCAACCAAACUGUGCACGAAGGCUGGAAUAUCUAACCAAUGUGAGGGGAAACUGAGGCAGCAGAGGGCCUGAAGGCAAUCUGGGUUAGUUUGUCGUGGUGGAGCCAUGAAGGAACCAUGCCUUGAGGUGAAGUCUCUCCAGCUCCAGAUGGAGGACUUGACCGUCGUCCUAAGAGAGAAGAUUCCGUAGGCGAGGGAGAAUGAAUGGUGUGCAGAUCGCCAUGCAUGUCAAGGCUUGUAUCUGCGUCUCCUGUUAGGAGCUGUAAAGAUCCCUAGGGUCCUCAAUGUGGCUCUAGAGUCCUUCAUGGAAUGGAGAAAUUCAUACAUCUUAGUGGAGAAGACCUUGUCCCUGUCGAAGAGGACCACCUCUACUUUGGUCAGGAGUUCGCUUGGGAUACCAGGGUGGAGCAGUGGGAGAUUCUAGUUGGUCCAGUACCGUCGGUAACAGCGAGCAGCCGGUGCCAAGCAGUGGAGAUCUGGGAGCAGAGGAUGCUUCUAUAUCAGAUAAGUGCAUAAAGGAGGAUCAGUGCCAUCAACUUGAAACUAUUUACAUAUUUGACAUAAAGUCAAACAGUUUUGUCCAGCAAAAAAGUUUGAGCCAAGAUUUACAAAGUAGCCAGUGGCACCCCUCCUCCCCCCCCCCCGAUAGCUGUUUUAUUUAACGAGAGGCACACAAUGGCACUAUUAGAUACUUCUACCUAAAUGUAAGCAAUAUUUAAGAUUAAUAAUUUAGACAAGUCCUAGUAGCUAGUUGUAGUGCAGUGCUUUGGCAACUGUGCACAUUAAAGUGACCUGUGUUCCUUCCUUAAGUGUCUCCGAAUGAAUCAUUCUGAAGAGCGGCACUGUUUGUUGCCAGCAAAAUAUUCCAAACACAUUCAAAACAAAAACAAACAUUACAUUAUGUCAAGCCAUUACAUAUUCCAGGUUCCAGCAUUCAGUUUUCUUGGUUUCUGCAUGUCUGUUUUUAAUAACUACCCAUUUUUGUCCUAAUGUAAAAAUUCUGUUUUAAAGUUAGUCACUUACAACAAGCCACUAUUUAAAAAAAUAUUAUCUUCAUUCCAAGUACUUUUAUAAUCAGAACAUUAUAAUGUGCAUAAAGCAAAGGUGUAUAAUCUAACUAAUCUGUUUUAAAAUCCAAUACCACAGUGCCUCUUUGUAUAAAACUCUGUAAAGACAGCUUCAUUUGUUAAAGACACACACACUGAUGUAAUCCAGGAUAUAUAUGCUGAUAUUUUUCU